rnacentral:lncRNA from 1 species
CGAGCAAUCCGUCAUUUAUGCUUCCCCUCCACUCCCAUCAGCAUCUCCUCCACCAACCUACUAUUGAUAUUAAUUAUUCAGCCAGUUUCUUCCAUUUCCAUGACUUCUGAUUCCUUUUUGUCCUCUUAUUUUUAGCAACUCCAUUUCAUUUGCCAAAAUUUGAUGUAUGGUUCCUGAAAUGACCGGGUUUACUUAUUAUGUGUUCAAUGUUAUUUCGUUUAAUAAUUUGUAUUAUUUAUUGUUUUAUUUAAGUAAGAAUUUGCCAAAAUUUGAUGUAUGGUUCCUGGAAUGACCGGGUUUACUUAUUAUGUGUUCAAUGUUAUUUCGUUUAAUAAUUUGUAUUAUUUAUUGUUUUAUUUAAGUAAGAUCCUCGAGAUCUCCAUCAAUUGUUCUCAUUAUAUCGAGAUUCUUUGCAUUCUGCUUUCUUUGUUCUGUCGUAUUCUUUGUCUAAAUAAUGCAUGUUUUAAUCGACUGUAUUCUUUUAUCGUUCCAUAAGUAUAUCUUCUGAACAUUUAUUCAAACUUAAAUUAGUUGAAAUUCAGCAUAUGGUCUCUUGAGAACUUUUUCCCGAGAAUGGUUUAUAACCUACCUAUUCUAAAAUUUUAAGAAAUAUUGAUCUCUUGGGUUUCCAUAGAUAUUGGAGAAUGGUUUAUAACCUAUCUAUUCUAAAAUUUUAAGAAAUAUUGAUCUCUUGGGUUUCCAUAGAUAUUGCUUUUGUUUUCAACCCGUCUCGUCCCGCUUAAUUUUGUUUGCCUGCUCAUUUGGUGUAGCAUGAUCCUCUACUUUUUCAUUAAAAGCUAUCUAUAAAAGUUUUCUGUAGACUUAUAGUAAUGGAAAGAUUAGUGUAAGAAUAUGUGCAAUUUUUUCCUUAAUGGUCCUGCGGGUCAGUCCCGUGGCAAAAGAAAAUCAUACAUUUGAAUCCUAAUAAAUUACUUUGGUGAGACUUAUGCAAAUUGGUUAAUUACAAAUUAAAAUAGUAUUCAUGCUAGCGAAUAAGAAUGUGAAAUUGUUGUUGAAAUGAUUGCGUUAAUUACAAAUUAAAAUAGUAUUCAUGCUAGCGAAUACGAAUGUGAAAUUGUUGUUGAAAUGAUUGCUUUGUUUCAAAAAAGAUAAAAUCUAAAGUUAUCCCGCAUUAAACCCGCAACCUGCCCCCCCCCCCCCCCCCCCCAUCCCGCAACCUGCCCUCCCCCCCUCUCUUUAAAAAUUUUAAAAAUUAUUUUAACCUGCCUGCAUCUACCCCGCCCCCACCCGCAUAAGAGUAAACCCGCCUGCCCCGCAUCAAACAAAACUCGUCCUGCCCCAUCCCAUUGUCAUCCCUAAUCACGAAACAUCUUGUUACAAUAUUAUUUGAAGCUCUCUCUGGAUAAUAAGUAGGUCUCCCCGGAUAAGUUUAAAAAGUUUACUCGUCCCUAUUUUCUCCCAUCAGCAUAUGUAUUAGGUAACUCCGUCCACUAACACUUUAACAUAAAAAGAAGAGAUCAUCUAAUGUUCUAAUGACUACACUUGCGAUGUUCUCACUCCUGAUUUAUGAUCGAGAUAGAUGGCUUUUGAAAGAUUAAGGGUUUGUUAAGGUUUUUUCGAUAUAAUUACACUCAAUUGAAGAAAAUCAUUUAGACGAGCCUCGUGCGUUUGGCAUUGGAAGCAUUUUAAGUGUAUAUGCGGGCUCUUGAAGCACAAAUUUUACAAGACAAGACUCUCCCACAUCUGGCUCAAACCGUUUUACGAGUGCCAAGUCCAUCCAUAUGGUACGUGAAUACGGGUGGAUCUACGUAUACCAUGCCGAGUGCUGAACCACCCAUUGACCCCAGUGUUAACUGAAAAACAGAGUAAUUUCGUCCACAAAAAUUGAUCGAAAUCGGUCAGAUAUUGAUAAAAAUCGACCGAUUUUUUUUUUCUAAUUGAUCAAAAAAAUGAUGGUCACUAACGUGUAACGACUAAAAUCGGUCGAAAAUUUCAUACCGAAUUCGGUCGGAAAUUUCAAAGCGCUGACUAACUAUCGACCUUUAAUUUCCAACCGAAUUCGGUCCGUAACCAUUAAAUUUUUUUUAAUUUUAAAAUACCGACCGAAAUUGGUUCUGUCCUUCCAAUAUAGUUGCAAAAUGAGAAGCUUUGGGAAUUCCACACUUAACUAUGCAAUACAAGUCUUAAUUAGUUCUAUCCUUCCAAUAUAGUUGCAAAAUGAGAAGCUUUGGGAAUUUAGGGCAAUGGCCUCUUCUGGCUGUUGCUUUGGCAAUUUGCUUUGUAGCCAACACUGUUUUUGCUGAUUACUCUUAUGGGUAUAGUUCUCCCUCACCUUCUUACAUUUCUAAGAAGUAUUACAAAUCACCAUCUUCGCCCAAGUAUCAUGUACUAAUUCCUCACUAUAAGUCACAUGCUCCUGCAAAGCAUUAUUAUAAGUCACCGGCUCCCGUAAAAUAUUCCAAUUCUCCAGUUUCCGUAAAAUACUACAAAUCGCCAGUUCCCGUAAAAUACUACAAAUCGCCAGCUCCCACAAAAUACUAUAAGUCGCCAGCUCCCGCAAAGAACUACCACAAAUCGCAAUCACCUGCAAAGUACUACAAAGCGCCAACUCCCACAAAAUACUACAAGGGGCCAGCUCCCACAAAAUACUAUAAGCCACCAGCUCCUGCAAAAUACUACAAGUCGCCAGCUCCCGCUAAAUACUACAAGUCGCCAGUUCCCGCUAAAUACUACAAGUCACCCGCUCCUUCAAAGAACUACUACAAGUCACCAUCACCUACAAAGUAUUACAAGUCACCAUCCCAAAUAAAAUAUUACAAAUCGCCUGCUCCCUCUAAAUACUACAAGUCACCGCCGCCACCAAAAUAUUACAAGUCCCCAUUUUACUACAAGUCUCCACAACCAGCUUAUUAUGAAAAAUCACCUUCGUAUUACAAGUCACCUCCACCUCCUUCUAAAUACUAUGAGCAAUCACCUUAUUACAAGUCACCUCCACCCCCACCAAAAUACUAUGAGCAAUCAUCAUCUUCUUACAAAUCUUUACCUCCAUCAUACUAUAAAGAAUCUACACCUUCUUAUAAAUCUCCCCCGCCCCUACCAAAAUACUACGAGCAAUCACCAUUUUCUUACAAAUCUCCACCUCCACCAUACUAUAAAGAAUCUACACCUUCUUAUAAUUCUUAUACAAAUCUCCACCUCCACCAUACUAUAAAGAAUCUACACCUUCCUAUAAUUCUCCUCCACGCCCAACAAAAUACUACGAGCAAUCACCUAUAAAUUACAACUUGCCAUCUAUACCAAAUACCUACUCACCUCCACCACCCGCAAACUAUUACAAGCAAAUUCCCACAUAUGCCUCAUCUCCACCACUUGAGAAGUACGAGCAAUCCGUCAUUUAUGCUUCCCCUCCACUCCCAUCAGCAUCUCCUCCACCAACCUACUAUUGAUAUUAAUUAUUCAGCCAUUUUCUUCCAUUUCCAUGACUUCUGAUUCCUUUUUGUCCUCUUAUUUUUAGCAACUCUAUUUCGUCUGCCAAACUUUGAUGUAUGGUUCCCGAAAAUGGCUAGUAAGAUCCUCGAGAUCUCUAUCAAUUGUUCUCA